rfam:Triticum aestivum genome assembly, contig: Triticum_aestivum_CS42_TGACv1_scaffold_161505_2DL
UAAUUACUCCCUCUGUCCGGAAAUAUUUGUCCGAGGAAUGGAUAUAUUUUAGUUCUAGAUACAUCCAUUUGUAUUCAUUUCUAUGACAAGUAUUUCCGGACGGAGGGAGUAGCUU